rnacentral:siRNA from 1 species
UUUUUAGCAAACUAUGUUGAAA